CCGUUCUUGUGUUAACUGCUAAGCGAUUCCUCCAGCUCAGCGAUCGUCAAACAGAACGCACAUCAAAGGCAGCUAAUCACUCCACAAUGUUGAGCCGGCUUACUAGGUCUUCAGCAUUACUAAAUGCGCGCCACAUUU